CCUACGGGGGGCUGCAGUGGGGAAUAUUGGACAAUGGGCGCAAGCCUGAUCCAGCAAUGCCGCGUGUGUGAAGAAGGCCUGCGGGUUGUAAAGCACUUUAAGCAGGAAAGAAGGGGUGAAAGUUAAUACCUUUCAUCAUUGACGUUACCUGCAGAAUAAGCACCGGCUAACUCCGUGCCAGCAGCCGCGGUAAUACGGAGGGUGCGAGCGGGAAUCGAAGUGAGCGGGGGUGGUUCGAGCGGAGGGGGUUGAAAGCCCUGGGCUUAACCUGGGAACUGCGGUGGAUACUGUCGGGCUAGAGUGUGGUAGAGGGGAGUGGAAUUUCCGGUGUAGCAGUGAAAUGCGUAGAGAUCGGAAGGAACACCAGUGGCGAAGGCGGCUCCCUGGACUAACACUGACGCUGAGGUGCGAAAGCGUGGGGAGCAAACAGGAUUAGAUACCCGUGUAGUC
rnacentral:rRNA from 1 species